rnacentral:rRNA from 1 species
UACGUAGGGUCCGAGCGUUGUCCGGAAUUAUUGGGCGUAAAGAGCUCGUAGGUGGUGUGUCGCGUCGGAUGUGAAAUCCCGGGGGCUUAACUCCGAGUCUGCAUUCGGUACGGGCAUGCUGGAGUUCGGUAGGGGAGACUGGAAUUCCUGGUGUAGCGGUGGAAUGCGCAGAUAUCAGGAGGAACACCAAUAGCGAAGGCAGCUCGCUGGGACGUUACUGACACUAAGGCGCGAAAGCGUGGGGAGCGAACAGG